rnacentral:rRNA from 1 species
UACGUAGGGAGCAAGCGUUGUUCGGAUUUACUGGGCGUAAAGGGCGCGUAGGCGGCAAUUUAUGUCAUCUGUGAAAUCUCCGGGCUUAACUCGGAACGGUCAGAUGAUACUACUUUGCUAGAGUGCAGAAGGGGCAAUCGGAAUUCUUGGUGUAGCGGUGAAAUGCGUAGAUAUCAAGAGGAACACCUGAGGUGAAGACGGGUUGCUGGGCUGACACUGACGCUGAGGCGCGAAAGCCAGGGGAGCAAACGGG